GUGGGGUGAGGGGCGUGCCGCGAGAAAUGUAGAGCAGAAAAUGAAAGCCGUCGAUGUGGAAACAAAAAAAUCUAGAUAAAUGGACGAAUAGAUAAAUGGACACGGAUCGACAACCGGAUAAGCAGAUAAACAACUGGAUAAACGUUCGUUUUUUGCUGUCUCGAUAACACAAAAUGAAGGAGACGCAAGGGCAGAAAUAGGGAAGAAUAGCAGCGAGAGAAUGAGGAAGAAAUUGUCGAGAGGAGAGUACUGCUAAUAUCCUGGGGGCGGUCGUGGGAUAGGGUGCACCUGCGCGUAUGACAGAUACGCCCCUGGCAUAAAGGCGACAUUUAGGUCACCGGCUUUUACCGCGGCAGACUGCACAUGCAGACCGGCCUUGCCAAUGAUCGUUUUCACUACUAGCAACGUUGCUCUCGGUUGCAAAGAAAUUUUACCGCCUGUUUAUUAUUACUGCUGCAAAAUUAAUCUUUCAGAUACAAACUAUACAUCGUUUCUCCAAAUAUUUCACUGAACCGUUUCUCAUAAGCAGUUGGUCAUUGCGUUCCACGAUACAUUGAUCUAACAUACUUAUUAUAAAUAUAAAAAUUUAUAAAUGCACUUUCAAAAGUCAACCUUAGAAUUAGGGCAACGACUCAGGGGUUAAAGAACUAACAUUCGUGCUCGGUCAUAGUAAAAUCGUUAACAACGUCGAUUGCUUCAUUAUUACGUAAAAAGAAUGUUAUCGAGGGUAAAUAGCAUGAAAUUAUAAAGCCAAUCGAUUGCCUCUAACUCUAAUAUGCACAGCCAGACCAUGUAACACUCGUGCACAUGUAAUGCACAGCACUUUGAGCACAGUAAAUGUGGCUGGAAAACUCCCCAUCCAUCAGAAUAUGUACAGAGGGGUUGGUCGUUGUACGUAUUUAACCAUUGAAUGGCAUAGUUUAAUUAUAGAGCACUUUACCGUGGAAUCACAAAAGGAUAAAUCUUAUAAAGAUCGUUCAUCAAUGGUUACUUUUCGUUGACAGCUUGAAUAAUGUAUCCCAACGAGGUAAACAAGGGACGGGUAAAUGUGUACACAACCUUUAAUAUGCAAAACCAGUUCUUUCACAGAAUAUUAGAAUCGGUAUGACCUAAAAAAUUAAUCGUUUCUGUUUGAUGAUUCUCUUAAUGAUUAUACAUUAGUAAGGAAAUAGGAAGGAUCCCUCUUUGCUGAUAAAACGUGUUCCUUUUCCAAAUCUUUCUCUUUGAGCUCGUAAGCUCUCAGACUCUAAUCCUCUGGUACUUUUUGAGUUCUGAAGGUUUCUCUGAGGCUUUCAAUCGAAGACAAAUGCUGGAAGGUUCCUAAAGAAGCUUAACACCAAAGUCGUUGUCACAACUAUGCCGUUAUCCAGGGAUGAGUUUACCGAGCGACAAUAAUUUGACAACCGCGCGAACGUGGCGCAGUGCAUAACAAGAGGAAAAUUAUCGUCCCGACGCCAAUUUCGAUCCUGACAAGGCUUGCAGUGUAUUCCAGAUCCCUAAGCUGAAGACACUUCCGCAGGGUAACGACUGUUCUAUCUAUGCGCCAGUUCGCCGUGCGAGUUACCACCUCAAACAGCGUAACUCGUCAAAUGAACAUAACCAGUUCCUGGCAACAGGAUAUCGGCGAUUUCUUCAAUUGCGUACUCUUCCGCGGAAACUUCCGGGGAAAAAGUCUGACGUCUUAACGAUAGAGAUCACCGUUAAACACACCCCUGUUUCGGAGUACGAGUGAUCGACCGCUGUAUGGUGUUAUCGAUUAUCCGUCCAUCUCCCAGCGAAGCGAAUUUCGAUAUCUGAAAUGUCUCCCUGACGAGCGUUGAAAAAUGAACUCCAAAGGAUGGAAAUAGCUCGCAAAAUCGACGGUAUUAAGUUUUGGGAUGUAACAGUAUGGAAGAUAUCUUACAUGUCUCAGAGAUUUUACAACCUUAAAAAUAGCUGCUGAAGUAUGGAAUAUUGUAUGGUUGGAUUUGAAUGUGUUGAGGCCCAUGAUUAUGCAUGGAGAUGCAGAAAAACUUUCAUAGACUUUGGAACAUUGCAGCCAUCUUGUUAACGGCCAUCUUGUAAAUACAAGACAGAGUAUAUGAAGAAAAGAGGAAUAUAAAAUUGAAGAGAAGAAUAAAAUUAAGAUAUGUAAUAUAGUAACACGACUUAAAAAGUAAAGUUAAAUGAUUUGAAGAGGAAUUGUGAUCUACCUAAAUGUAGAUAAAACAGUAAGACUUGCAACGUCAAAUACAGACUUGAACAUUAUGGCCAUUUUGUCUACGGCCAUCUUGUAAAACAUGUAAGCAUCAAGUAAUAAGAUACGAAGAAAAGAAUGUUUCGCAUGAAGAGAGGAAUAAAAUUAAGAUACGUAAUAUAGAAAAACGAUUUAAAAAGUAAAGUUAAAUGAUUUGAAGAGGAAUUUCGAUCCACUUAAAUAUAAAUAGAACCGUAAGACUUGCAGUGUCAAAUACAGACUUGAAUAUUAUGUCCAUCUUGUUUACAGCCAUCUGGUAAAACAUGGAAGCAUUAAGUAAUAAGAUACGAAGAAAAGAUUGUUUCGUUUGAAGAGAGGAAUGAAAUUAAGAUACGUAAUAUAGAAAAACGAUUUAAAAAGUAAAGUUAAAUGAUUUGAAGAGGAAUUUCGAUCCACUUAAAUGUAAAUAGAACAGUAAGUCUUGGAGCGUCAAACGCAGACUUGAUUGAACGUACACAGGAAAAAAGAAGCGUAAUCACCGAAGCUGGAAUAUUCAAAGCGUCAAACGACCGAAAUAUUUUCACCGGAGAGGAAAUAUUCCGUGGAAAGUCGAACAUGGCGUUCGCGGGAAGGCGUGCACGCACCCAGUGUUUAACAAGGGGGGAGAAGGCAUAUCGGAAAAUGUCGACACGAUAGAAAAGAGAGUAUCUCGGAUAAUGGAGUGGGUGUAUAUCAGUCUUUGCGAUAAGUUAUUGCUGAAUCAGUCGUUGUCGUUCCAUAGCGGAAGCAAUCCCGCCAAAAUAAAGGCAAAAGCAUCGUCUGCAAACUCCUAGAACGUCGAUUUAUCAUUUCUUUUUGUUCGGUCUGUUAAAAAAUAGCGAGUAAUUUCUAUCGGACUCCCAGUUUCUUUCCUUGCGUUUUAUUACUUUCAACGUGCCGUUGAUAUUUUCGUUCGAUGGUCGAUCAGGAUCGCAUUGAAAAAAAGAAAAAAAUCGUUCCCGCGAGAAUCUAUGCCUCUGGUAGCGACAUGAAUAAAAAAUCAGACCCGGAAUUCGAACGACGAACCGCAGAGUCGAUUCAUUAUAAAUAAAGAACGAGGCAAACAAAAAACCGUCGGUGUUUUUUUUCCCCGCUGACCCUCUACGGACAAAUUAACAAAUUAACGAACGUUCGCUCCAAAGCGGGUCACUUUCAAUCAACAGUGUCGCUAUCCGUCUCGUUCUUUCUUUGUCCUUCCCGUUUUAAACGUCAGAAACAAGUGCGCCGUUUUUCCAAUUCGCCAUAAAUUGUAAAAAGCUUUCGUGCGGGGCAGAAGGGACAGAAUUACCCGGCCUUUUUUGUCAAUGCUCUCGUACGGUAUUAUUCAGGGCCUUUUCAAAAGGGCCGGCCAAAUCGCAAUGAUAAAUUCGAAGCGUAACGCGAAUAAUCGUUCGUACGAACAAAAAGCGCAUCGAGACAAAAGAGUGAAAAGGGAGAGGGUGAAAAAAAAAUCGCGAUAGCUCCUCCUCCAUCGGUUCCGGGACGUUUAAUUCGCGAAGAGGGCCGCUACGGGGAGGCUGCUAGCUAGCAAAUUAAUGCGAAAAUUUAAUGCAGCUGUCACGUGUCCGGCCGUUACUAAAUCUACGUAUAACGUCAUUAAAUUCGGGAAAUCGCCGCUGCCUGACUACACGCGUUUUGUUUCGUACGUCGCACGUAUUGUGACCCGUUUCGCUAAUUGUAAUAAUUUUCUUGCUCCAAGCGCCGUUUCAAAUAUUCCACUCGUUUCAGAACUCUCUGUUUCAGAUCUCACGCCGGUCUUUCUUCACCUUUUCUGGAUUCUUCAGAAUACUCCCUAGAGUCACUGCAGGUGCAAGACUUCAGUCACUGCAAUUUAUUUGGACAUUUGACCAUCACGGUUGCAGGCAGCUCCAUUGUACAGAGUUCAUAAAAUAGGAAUUAAAGCGAUCGAACGUACACGUAGUACACGUAGAAUGUGUACGUAGAUAGUUUGUGACCGUGCGUGUUAACAACCGACACACAGCCACAAAAUGGCGUUUUUCUGCACAAUCGAUUGUCUACGGUAGCCAAUAUCCCUUGUUUCUGCUCGCAUUGUUGCACAUUGGAAAGCGCUGUUUAGAAACAACAGUUCGAACAACAGUUGUCGAGACUAAAUGAAGUAAAAAAAACAAUGAAGAUUACUCGCCUUAAUCAAGCUUGCUGUACAAGAUGGUAAUAGCGCAUCGCUGGGGAAGCUGCGAGAUAUAUUUGUCUCUCCCGGUAAUUCGCGAGGCUGCAGAAACUUUGAAAUUAUUUAAUUAGAAAUUCUUGUUGCAGGGAAUUUUACACGUAACGUAAGUACGGAAACUAAAUAUGUACCUUGCGUUAAGCGGUUGUGGAUUUGAACACUUCAAAUCCCACCCAGCCUCCUCCAAAGAAUUCGAACACCUCUCGCCGUUAUACCGCCAUGUGCAAUUAAAAACUUUGCCUCGUGUAUCGCUUGUAGCACAUUUUCACGACUUUCGUUAAAACGGAAUAGUUUGCGACGCUUGCCUGUAUUAUACUCACUAGUGUCUGAGGGGAGGUGAUUCUGAACAAGAUUUCUCUUUGCAGAAAUGUGGUUCGAAGCUUCGUUCUUGAAUUAUUACGGAAAGACAAUCGGAUGCGCGCGCAGGCGCGAGGCGACGGCUUCCAACAUGGCGGCGGAGCGCGCGCAAUCAGAGCGCUCUGAUUGGCCGGUGUUUUUCCUUAAUAAUUCAAAAACGAAGCUACGGGGCACAUUCUUGCAAAGGGAAAUCUUGUUCAGAAUUAACUCCUCUUCAUUUUAGGAACGUUAGUUGUGAGAUAUCUUGUAUAAGAGUGCAAUUUUCGAUACAGAAAGAUCGUCAUAAUAUAAAAUAAUCAAUCGUUACUUUCAAAGGAUAUAGAAUAUUUAUUUGUAUUUUAUUUAAACAAAAUUGCACUGUCAUUAGUCUCAUCCAGCUAUAUCCUUUGAGAAGUACACACUUUGUAGAAUAGAAUGUAUGUACAUCCACCCGUUCGAAUUUCAGACGAGUUGGAUAUUGGUGGCCAGACAAUUACGCGAAAAGGUACAUAAUUCCGCAUAAGAGGAAAAGCCACAGAUCUGGCAGCUUUCUUAUUUAUUACAUGGCCGCCGGAAAACGAGGAAGUUAAAUUGGCCGAUUUCCGCAGGAAAUUAUAUUAGCGAUCUGAUGUACGGUCUCUCGUUUUACUUUUACAUUCCAAUUCCAUUCUCGCUUCGGCAUAAUUGUAAUAAUGUCCCCUGGAGAACGCGUUCCAGUUGCGAGCGUGUAAUUAUAUUUCAACGAUUGAAAUUCGGGUUGAAAGACCUUGCCAAAGAUUGGGGAUGAAACUUGACAGUGAAAUAUUUGGAAAAUUCGUGUUUUAGAUGCGUCAUUUUGGGCAACUCUGUUUCCAUCGUCGGCAAUGUACACACGUCCUUGCGGCACGCUCGGUUUACUCUGGAUCGAGGAAAGGCAAAACAUCGUGAGAGGAUACAUAUGUUCCGUGCAAGCCGGUAAUCGAUCAUGGAGAUCGUAAAAAGUACUCGGACGUGUCUGCGCCAUCGGUCUCCGAGUGUCAAACGAGAAUUAAUAGUUCGCUCGAGUAAUGUACAAUGUACGGGGCCUGGUACACGAUGAAUAAAGAUGAGAAUCGCUUCAUCGGCGCUGGGAAAAGAAACAGAAACCAGAAGGAAGGGGGUCGAAGACGCGUCGGCCGACAAAAGCUGGAGAAAAAGAGAUUAAUAAGUUGGCUCACACGAGAGGGUGAUUUAGCCUGACAUUUUUGAAAUUCUAAUUUCGUUGAAAGCACCUUCGAAGAGGAUUUUCAUUUUUCCCUAUCCGUAAUCUUCCUUUUUUCCUGGAAAUAAAUAAACGCUUUGACGAGGUCGAGGUCGCUAAAAAGAUUAAUGAGAUCGUUUCCGGGACUUCAAUUUUAUUAAAGGUUCAAAGGGAAUCCCUCGGAGGAAAAAAGCGUGUAUCUUAAAAUUGUUAGCUUUGUUCCUCGUUAUCCGACACAUCGAACGAUUUAGAUAUUCUUUAAUGAGCCAUCAUUUGAACAUCUGUACACUUUACUCCGGAGAAUACGCGAAUUCCGUAAACUGGAAAUCGGGAUAAUAACGGGGGAUGUUUCCCGUUCGAUUGAAGAGGAACUUAAGAUACAGCGUCGAUACAGAGGGCGCCCGCGGCGAACCGUGAAGUUCCCAACAAUUCCUAUUUUAUCCUCUUCGGAUUCCACCGUGUCGCCUUUUCUUUUCCAUCCGGACGCACUGUGUGUACGUAAUUCCCGUAGUCGCGAUACCUCCUUUGUUCCUGUUCACGUAUCCUGGCUGGCGAACGCGCCACAAAGCUACCUUUAGCUUUGAUCGCGACGUACUCUAGUUCGGUAACUUCCAACCUUCUUCCUCGUUUUUCGAACGAAUAUUGUUCGACCGGACUUUGAGGUCUUGCAACCUGUCUAACUUUCGCUAAUUUUAUACACGGAAUCUUAGUUCUAACUUUGACGCAUUCGUUACAUGCAAUUACCUUUGAAACAGAUUUUCAUCCCCUUACUGAGCCAUCAAUUUUAAGCGUUGAAAUGGUCAUACACAAAGAAUAUUAAAAAAUGAACCAAUAACAGUAUAAGAAUUAAUAAGCUAGUCUUAAGUACAUCCAAGGAUCUCAGUUGUCCAUUAUACAAAGCCGGUCGAAAAAGUUGAUGGAAAAGGAAGAAACAGGGAAGGACAAAAAAAUAAGAAAGUUUCCAUCUCGCACGAACAUACCCAGCGAAGAUUUACGCCUGGUCUGUAAUUUAAUACAGGAUACUUUGCCGGAGUUCCUUCGAGAGUUACCUGUUCGCGGGGCGUGCGCGCGCACGGAGCUCGCGGAACGUGAGCGGACUUUGUGUCUGGCAUAUCGUAAGAAAAGAAAUAAAACGGAAAGAGCGAGGAAAGCGUGACGAAGGGUGGAGGAGCCAGGAAGCAAAGCCAGCUUGUGCAGUUCGCGGUAUCGUUAUUCACUGGCCGGCUCGAACAUCUAAUUACGAUGAAGAGGCUGUCCACGUACUGCUCGAUGAAAAAUUCAAUAUGAAACUGUAAUCGAGAGGAUUCUUCUUUUAUCACCCAUUCACGCCUCUUCUUUUUAUCUAUAACUGAACUGGUAACGCACUUGGUCUUCUUUGAUGGUGUUCUUUGACUGAAUUUCUUCUUACAUUGUUUUUUUGUAUGACAUUAUUUUUAUGGGGUCCAAAUGAAUGCAUAUGAAUGUUGUUCUUUGACUGAAUUUCUUCUGACAAUGUUUUCUCAUAUGAUAUUAUUUUUGCAGGGUCCAAACGAAUGCAGAGAAUUAGUCUGAUGAAGAUAAUGGUUCACUGAAGAUGAAGACUGAGUCAUGAAUAUUGGAGACAACUGAUAUUGAACACCUGGAUAACUGCAUUUGUUCAUGGGACAAAAAGUCAGAGCCCACACAAGGACCAUAUUAAGAAACCAGAUCAUAAUGUCCUCUAACUCUGCAAGGUCUAUCAGCAAGAUCCUAAAAGUUCAUUGAAAAGAUCAUAAGUCAUCUUCUCACUCUACCCACAAUUGAUGAAUUAAAUUUUGGAAAGUCAGAUUAGGAUUAAAGUGCACUUCGCCGCAAACCCAGUCUGGACACAGCAAGCUUCUCAUCCGAAAAGUUCUGUACAACAGUUCCGUCACGUUGCAUCCGGUGACGGCAAUAAUUCGGGAAGCAUCGGAAACGUCUAAAUCGCGUAUCCAGCCGAAACGGUCAGGUUGUUGUGGGAAUUCGGCCGGUCGAUUGGGCGAUUAUACAUGCGAUAAUAGAGCGUCGCAUAGCUACGAGAUCCGUUGUGUACCGAACAGUUUCGAGACGUGUCCAGCAGGAGCCUCCGCCACACUUCAGGAUUUGACGACACGUGUAGUCUGACUGCGUGCAUAUGUAGAAUUAACGAUAUUAAUACCUUAGUGACUGUCAAACUAGUUGGCUGUAUUUUUGAAGAAUUAAUUUAAGGAAACUUGAUGAGCUUGUUGUAUGAGCAGCCAGGUGUUAAUGAUCUCGUCUGAGCAGCCAGAGGUUAAUAUACAUAUGGAAGUCAUAGAAAAUUGUUAGCUUCAUGUCUUGCUGAUGUGAUUGAACUUGUUGAAAUGAUGAUGUCAAUGAUCUUGUCUGAGCAGCCAGAGGUUAAUAUACAUAUAGAAGUCAUAGAAAAUUGUUAGCUUCAUGUCUUGCUGAUGUGAUUAAACUUGCUGAAAUGAUGAUGUCAAUGGUCUUGUCUGAGCAGCCAGAGGUUAAUAUACAUAUGGAAGUCAUAGACGUCAUAGAAAAUUGUUAGCUUCAUCUCUUGCUGAUGUGAUUGAACUUGCUGAAAUGAUGAUGUCAAUGGUCUUGUCUGAGCAGCCAGAGGUUAAUAUACAUAUGGAAGUCACAGACGUCAUAGAAAAUUGUUAGCUUCAUCCCUUGCUGAUGUGAUUAAACUUGCUGAAAUGAUGAUGUCAAUGAUCUUGUCUGAGCAGCCAGAGGUUAAUAUACAUAUGGAAGUCAUAGAAAAUUGUUAGCUUCAUGUCUUGCUGAUGUGAUUAAACUUGCUGAAAUGAUGAUGUCAAUGAUCUUGUCUGAGCAGCCAGAGGUUAAUAUACAUAUGGAAGUCAUAGAAGACUUAGAAAAUUGUUAGCUUCAUCCCUUGCUGAUGUGAUUGAACUUGCUGAAAUGAUGAUGUCAAUGAUCUUGUCUGAGCAGCCAGAG